AUCUCUGGGAACUUGCGAUCUCCCUGCCAGACAAGCACCUGAGACCCAAGUCGAUCUCCUGCUACGUCGCGGCUUGCUGUGAAACAGAACGAAAUAGCCAUGCAUAAGGAAGAAAUUCGUCUGAAAUUUUUCACGUGUGUGAUUCAGUCUCGCCGGUUAGUCAGGACUCCUCAGGGAACAGCCGGGGAAGCGCUGCCUUCCAGCAUGCUCAUACCACAGCUCCGGCCAGGGACAGAGUCGUCUGGGUGCUCUGGAGAGUCUGGGUGCUGUGGACGACCUGGAGACCAUGGAAGGCAUACCUAUUUUCAAAACUGGAGCUCAGGACCUCAUUGUCCCUGAGGACGGCUGUGG